UUAUCAUGUGGAGUUGGCAAUCGCUGACAGCACAGUUGAAGGUGCAUUCGUGUGUUUUGAUGGUGUGAUGACUAAGCUGCAUAACCUCCGAGCAAGUGAAGCCGGUCAGUGUUGGCUGAGGAAGGAGUAAGUCCUGAGGACUCUUAGGUGCCGCUGUUUAUCACAGACAUGGAAGGAAAAACAUUCACCUUCCAGGUCAGAGUUAGCACGUUUAACUUCACUGCACACCAUUAGACCUCACCAUCACCCGCAUCCUUAAGGAGCAUGAGCGUGUUCCAGUUCCUGACUUUGUCGUUAAGGGGAGAAACGAUGGUGAUGAUGCUGACAUGGCAGAUGGUGGUCUGGUUCCUGUUCGUGUUGAAACUGGAGAAGGCAGUAGUGAUGCAGAUAAGAAUACUGAUGCGAAACCAGGCGAUGCUUCGGCGAAGAAGAGGACCCACUCAUCUACCAAGAUGGCCAAGAAAGUGGAUACCAGCAGUUAUGGUUUCAUGUUCCAAGUUUAAAUACUUCUUAUUUAUCUGCAGUACUUUCGCACCUUUGAUUAUCUUUGUUUCAGUCAAUAAUAAAAAACUAUUUCAAUUUAUUCCCUCUUAUAUAGUUUUUUCAAUUCUUUUAACUGAAAUAAAAGUGGAAAAUCCAUUAGAA